GCACAUUACUUCACAUCAGGCAUCAGUCAGCAGCAGCGCCAGCCAGAUACUCUUUUCUAGAGCGAGGAGCCGGCCGUACAGAAGAAGUAAAAACGACUGCCAGUUUCCAAUCAGCGUUAACAAUUUUCGUUUGGAAAACUGUCUGAAAAUCGUGAAUUUGCAACGAAAAAGUGUGAGAAAGAUUCCCCGGAGUACGAAGUGUGGUUUUACGUAGGGGUGAAUCAUUUUUGUUUUUCCUAUAGGCUGAAAAUCUCGAGUGAAAAUUCUUUUCACGAGAGUGUGCUUCUGGUGAAUCUGUCUGGAAAGGAAGGCGAAAGCUACAGAGUGAAAAAAAAUCUGAAGCGGAAAACCGUGGAUCUGUGCGUGUGAGGAAAAGGUGUAACAAAAUUAUUUGUGAUCCGGCGGAGUCGCGUCGAUUUCCUUUUAUUCUAGUGACCAACUGGGCAUACUAUAAACAUGCAAAUAGUGCAAGUCCUCGAGAAGACCGUGUCGCCAGAUAAGGAUGAAUUGCUGGCGGCAAAAAACUUCCUGGAGCAGGCAGCCGCAUCUAACCUGCCAAGCUUUCUUCGGGCACUCUCUGAUGUGCUGGUGUUUGCCGGAAACUCGCCGGUGGCCCGAAUGGCCGCCGGUUUGCAGCUAAAAAAUCAACUCACCAGCAAGGAUGCAACAGUCAAGUGCCAGUAUCAAGAACGAUGGCUAUCAUUCCCAGAGGAUAUGCGAGAAUACGUGAAAAAGAAUAUCCUUGCUUCCCUGGGAACAGAAAGCACUCGACCCUCGUCUGCCGCGCAGUGCGUGGCUUAUGUUGCCGUUGCCGAACUGCCUGUCGGUCAAUGGCCAAACUUGAUGCAAAAGCUUGUGGACAAUGUGGUUAACGAAAAGUCGACCGAGAUGGAACGGGAAGCCACAUUGGAAGCCAUAGGUUAUAUUUGUCAAGACAUCAAUUCUGAAAUUCUUGAGCACCAGUCGAAUCAAAUUUUAACGGCAAUUAUUCACGGAAUGCGUAAAUCGGAACCAUCAAACCACGUACGAUUGGCGGCUACAAAUGCUUUGCUAAAUUCACUCGAAUUCACCAAGGCCAACUUCGAAGAAACGGCCGAACGAAACUAUAUCAUGGAAGUGGUUUGUGAAGCUACCCAAAGCACUGAUACACAAAUUUGUGUGGCCGCUUUGCAAUGUCUUGUAAAAAUUCUCACCCUCUACUACCAGCACAUGGAAGCGUACAUGGCCCAGGCGUUGUUUCCCAUCACACUGGAAGCGAUGAAAAGCGAUAAUGAACAGAUUGCACUUCAGGGCAUUGAGUUCUGGUCCAAUGUUAGCGACGAAGAGAUUGAUCUGGCGAUUGAAUCGCAAGAGGCAGCGGAUACCGGGCGUCCUCCUAAUCGAGUGUCCCGUCACUAUGCCCGCGGAGCGCUACAGUUUCUGGCUCCAGUGCUGAUGGAAAAGUUAACCCGACAAGAGGAGUUUGACGAUGAAGACGACUGGAAUCCGUCGAAAUCAGCCGGAGUGUGUCUGAUGCUGUUGGCUACCUGCUGCGAGGAUGAAAUUGUACCGCAUGUCUUGCCGUUUGUUAAUAAUAAUAUAAAAUCGUCGAAUUGGCGCUAUCGGGACGCUGCCCUGAUGGUGUUCGGGUCCAUUCUAAGUGGCCUGGAGACAAACACUCUGAAACCGCUUGUUGAGCAAGCGAUGCCGACGCUGAUCGAGUUGAUGUACGAUCAGAGUGUUAUAGUCCGUGACACCUGCGCUUGGACGUUUGGUCGCAUAUGUGAGGUGAUUCCCGAAGCUGCCAUUAACGAACAAUAUCUAGAGCUUCUUUUGAAGGCUUUGCUGAACGGUUUGAAGGCAGAACCUCGUGUUGCUACGAACGUAUGCUGGGCAUUCACUGGUCUGUCGGAGGCGGCAUACGAAGCAGCGAAUGUUGACGAUGACGCUCCUCAGACUUAUUGUUUAUCACAGUAUUUUGAUUUUAUCAUCAGUAAUCUGCUAGAAACAACUGAUCGUCCUGACGGGGCCCAGGCGAACUUACGUUCUUCUGCAUACGAAGCACUCAUGGAAAUGAUCAAGAAUUCACCACAGGAUUGUUACGUUUCGGUUCAGAAAACAACGAUGGUUAUAUUGGAACGACUCAAUCAAGUCAUGCAAAUGGAAUCGCACAUUUCCACUCACAACGAUAGGCACCAGUUUAACGAUUUACAGUCGCUUCUUUGUGCUACGCUGCAGUCGGUUCUGCGGAAGGUGGACGCUAAAGAUGCUCCUCAAAUAUCCGAUGCCAUUAUGACCGCGCUACUGACGAUGUUCAGCUCAAGCUCUGGCAAAGUUGGUGGUGUUCAGGAAGAUGCUCUGAUGGCUGUUUCCACUCUUGUGGAUUUGCUAGGAGAGGGUUUUUUGAAAUACAUGGAAGCGUUCAGAGAGUAUUUGUACAUGGGUCUCAAGAAUCACCAAGAAUAUCAAGUCUGUUGCACAGCUGUUGGACUUGCCGGUGAUAUUUGCAGAGGACUCAAAAACAAAAUUCUUCCUUACUGUGACGAAAUUAUGACUCUGCUGCUGGAAAAUUUGAGUAAUCCCUCAAUUCACCGAAGCGUCAAGCCACAGAUUUUGUCUGUUUUCGGAGAUAUGGCAUUGAGUAUUGGAGCUGACUUUAAGAAAUAUCUUACCAUUGUACUGCAAAUGCUGGCGCACGCAACACAAGUACAGAUCGAUCCGAACGACUAUGAUAUGAUUGAUUAUCUGAAUGAACUUCGUGAAAGUGUUCUGGAGGCAUAUACCGGUAUAGUGCAGGGUCUGAAAGGAAUGGAUAAGACCCCGCAUGAGGAUGUAAAUCUGUUGCAACCGCACGUUCCUUUCAUCAUCAAUUACAUCAUCUCUAUUGCGAAGGAUAGCGAGCUGUCGGAUGGCAACAUCGCAAUAGCAUGCGGAUUGAUUGGCGAUAUGUGCUCUGCCUUUGGACCGCCACUGUUGCCCCUAGUGGAAGACCCUCAGAUUCAGCAGUUGAUGAAUGACGGCAAAGUUUCACGCACCGGACGAACCAAAACACUCACAAAUUGGGCGCUGAAGGAAAUAAAAAAAUUGAAACAAACUACAAACGACGCGAGUUGGCGACUUAAAUAAAAAUUUAAAGUUAGAAAACAAAGACGUUUAGAACAUAAUUCUCCGUGUGAUUGAAUAAGUGUGAGCGAGACGCAAGGUUGUGAUAAAACUGCAGUUGCUGCUGACCUGCCAAGAAAAAUGGGAAGUCUAGCAAGUUGAUCGAUAGAGAAGUGGGGUUUUCUUUCUGGGAGUAACUACUGAACGAAAAGAUUUAAUUCAGCAUUAACGGCAACACGCUCAACUACACAGCAGCCAAUGGUACCACGUCCAGCACAGUUCCAGCAAUGUAAUUCUAUCAUCGAACCGUUCGUAGUCCCCUACGGCUGUCCUUCCGUUUCACCACUUUUAUCCAAGAAUUUAUCCUAUCAACACCCUCAUCACAUGGAAGACCAGGAAGAACCGUUUAACUGUAACUAUUACUGUAGUGACAAUCUUUGCUUUGAUAUGUCGCUGAAAAUCUAGACGAACUCUUAUUUUACAUUUGGAUCCUGAUCUACCAGCUCAAAUUAGAGUAUCUACUGUUCGCAAUAAGUAAGUCACAAGUUGCUUUCUUUCUUAUUACUGAUCUAAUCCGCGGUGGGUGACAGCGGUAGGGCAAGGGAACUGGGAAGACGAUUGAUCGCAUGAUUCCAACUGUUGUCGCUGGUCGCUCCAGAUGAAUAAACUUCCUCCAGAUCCGGAACUGUGUGUACAUCUAAGUUACAGUGUGUCGUAGUAGUAAUAGUUGUAGUAAAACUUAGAUGAUUAUUGUGUAAGCCAACUAAAUUAAAUCAAUUAUCCAAAAGUAGUAAGUGAAACCUACACAAAAAACACGAACACAAACAGAACCCGUUAACACAAUGUAUCUUCUCUACGAGUGAAAAUUUUAAUCUUAUAGUCGGAAACGUGUGCCAUAGUGAAAUGUUGGGCUGCCUUUCGCGAAGAGUGAUCUAAAAAUAGUGGACUACAAUAGUCCAGUUGUAAAUUUGUUGACAAAUAAAAUUGUUUUUUGUUCGUACGUUGUACACUUUCACCGUGGCACUCGUUUUUAUUUUUCUUCGGUAAUCUAUGAUGCAAGUAAACUAGGAACAAACGAUAGUAUCCUUUAAACAGAAAACAAACAAAAAAAAACAUGCGUAUGUUUUUGAUCAAAAUCCCAUAUUAGCUGCAGUUUACCACAACGGAGAUAGAAUAUCUACCGGCAAAGCUAGCGGGCAACGAAAUACUUCUGAUUCGGUGAAUAUUACUGGGUGAGAGCGGACGUUAAAAGGAUGUGUACAGUUGAAUUGGGGAUGUUUUUAAAAUUCCGCUAAUACAUUCUAAGAAUCUGGCAAACUUUGGCAGCUCCGAUCGAUAAACACAAAUGGACAGUAAUAUACUCGAGGAGAGAAUUGUUUCGUUGACCCGAAGAUCCUUUUUCCAUGUUCGCUUUUUCCGGAAAAAAAGUAAUACCAGGGUGAAUUCUGCAGAGCGAGUAGUUACGAACGACGAAUGGCAAGGGAAAAGGAUAUUAAUGAAUAGUUUUGCAACACGAGCAAAAAAAGCUUACAGUGUAGAUUAAUAAAUAUCAAUAUCACUUGUAAAAUUAGAUUAAAAAAAAAAAAAACAAAAAAAAGCAAAAAAAAUACAAGGUUAAGUCAUGCAAUUACCCAAAACAAGAACAAUGUGUAAAUGCGUCUAAUGUGCUGUGCUAUUCAUGACCAGUGUGUUUACGACCAGGGAUUUGCGUUCGAUUGACCGUGGGAGCGUGGUGUUGGUCGGGGGUGGAGAAAUGAAAAGGAAUUUUAUCGUGAUGUUGUGCAUGUUUGAAGAUAUCUUAGUUUCGAGACUAUCGAUUAAUACAGGUUGAUUGAGAAUUGUUUGGUACAAAAACGCGUUAACUGUUGAUUAAGUUGAUAAUGGAAGGAAUGAACAUUGGACUUGAAGAAAAAUAACAUACUAGAAGCAGUUUCUGGUCUUCAAAUGGUAAUUGGAACUAAAAUUAACGAAUCAAUCAAUCAAAAACAAAAUAAAACUGUUACGUAAAUCACCAGGAACGAAAGACUUACCGACCGACUAGAGCUUGACUGAUCGAUAAAAGAAAUCCAUACCAAUAGACGAUACUAAAGAAAAAUGAAACGUAUUUGCGCGUGAUCGAGAAUGUGAUUAUACCUUUGUGUGCUCUUUCCUGACUGUUGAUUUUAGUUGUUUGUGCGCCAUGCGUGACUUCCGGAACGGAAAAACUUGAAUGUGAUAUGUAUAUCUUUUACUUCGCUUGAUAUUCCUGAGAACCUAAUGUAAACGGUUAUUCCAAUCGUAGCCAAAAUGAAGUGUGAUACAAAGUAGUGUGCGUACGCGAGAGUUCCACAUGAUGCAAGAGUGUUCGCGUGAUCGUGUAGAAAGUUAAAAUUUUAUUUAUGGUCAGCGAAAUAAGAUUGAUAAAGGUUUACCCUGACGGAAUUAAGCAAUCAUUCAGCUUGUUUUCUAUUCUCAACGAGAUUGUAACAGGCUAACCGAUGUUUUGGGAAAGUCAGCUGAUGGCUCGAGUUGAGUGUUGCGAUGCAAUUAAUUGAAUUGGGCUAUAAAUUCUGCAAUUAAUAUUGAAUCAUCGAAAACAGGGUCGUCUAUAGGUGACUUUUUGAUUACCAAAUUAUGACUGAAUUGGUCGGAUAAACUGCGAAAUAAGUGCUAGUUUAUUUCGAGCAUAUUGUUUUAUCAGAAAAGCUUAUGAUAGAAUCUUUCAAAUUAAUGUAUUUGUUAAAAAAUGACUUUUUCAGAUGAGUUGCACAGUUUUGCAAUUAUUGCAGAUACCAGCCGCAACUUUUGAGAAACAUUUUUGUUUCGUGCUUUGAUUCAUUUUUCAAUAUGACUAUAAAUUUACUGUAUUGUUAUUGUGCCACUAUUCUACAGAAACUUAUGAUUUCAUAUCCAACAAACUUUAAAUCGUUCAACGUAAUAACAUUAAGUAGUACUCUAAUUGAUAUGCAUAUUGUCAAACGUUAAAAUUUCCUGCCUUAUUUAUAUUACCAACCUUUCUUAAUUGUUACAGUAACUACUCGUGGUUGUUAUUACAGACAAUUCUCCCUGUUUUGCACCAACAGAAACAUGAACAAUUGCAAAACUGUAAAGCCGCAUUCCUCACGAAAAAACAGGCAAAUGUUUGCAAUACAAACCAAUAUAAAUUUUCGUUCGACUUUAUUUACGUGGUUUUAGAACACCAAUAUUACAGCAAUAUGAAACAAAUGCAAAUUAUGAUUUUAUUCACGAUAGGAAUGAAAUGAAGAGUGUAUGUCAGUAUCAAAAUCAUUCCAUCGCGGUUAUAUUGUUGGAAUAUAUGCGAAGCAUAGUAGUACCUACUAAACGUCUUUUGUCACUUCUAGUAUUAACGUAAACAAACAAAAAUGCAAGAAUGAAAAAUAUUCUACCUUGGCAGACCAGCUGUUGUCGAGGGUAGCAGAAAACACAAAAUGAAAGAGACUUAUAACAAGUACGCAACACACAAAUACAAAUACUAACCCAAACAAAACAAAAAAAAACAUACCAACUCAUGAUUCUCACAGUCUAAGCAAUUUAUAGAUAAAUUUGUUCUGUUGUACUUUUUCUUUUCACAAAUUGAUAGUAGAAAAUACGACACUUUUGACGAUAAAAUACAGACUGUUAGGACUGUUAGGAAACUACAAGAACAAAGCAGGAAACAAAACACUGUAAAACAAGCGAACAUUGCUCAGGUACAUACAAAAACAAAAGAGAAACCAAAACAAAAUCAAAUACCUACAUACCGAACAUACAAACAAACUAACAAACAAAAUAAUACAAAGACUUUCAAACAGUUAUAUACUGCACUCUCAAACUAAAAUAAGUGAGAAACGUAAAUUGUUGUAAGACAGAAAACAAUAAAUGUAGUACGAUGUUGUGAAAUUUUUCCUUCUUGCAAAAUCCAACGCACGCAGGAGAUAAAACCACGGAGCGUGAGUGCUGUCAUAUCGUGCAUUACGUGUGUGCGUGAGAGUGUAACCUGCAACUCUUGGGUACCGUAUUGUGGAAUAAAGCAUGCUUGAACAGUCAUAUAUUUUUACUUAAAAGUAACUAAUAACGUAUUAGGAAACGAGAAACAAAUCAUCAAUCCGUUUAUUCCUGUUUAGCUAGACGUGUAAUGAGAAUGUGAAAAUUGUAACAGUAAAGCCACUUGAUAAGCUGAAGUGUAUUUAGGAGAAAAACAAAACGAAAUCAGGAACGGAAAUGUUUCUCGAAUUCUGAGGAAAACUUGGGAAUAUUGAAAUAUACAGAACUUUAGCAGAAUCUAACGGAACCAAUGAAAUAAAUGAACUGUGGAAGCAUUGAAAAUCCAUUAGAGAAUAAGUAGGAAUUAUUGAAAUUACACAGAAUUAUUAUACUGACUUAACUAGACGAAAAAGAAUUAAGUUGAACUAAGAAAUAAUAAGAAGGAAAACAACUGUGAUUUGAGAAAGCUUUUUAUAAUCACACAAACGAUAGCGGAGUACGCGGCAAAUUGGGUGAAUUUGCCCAAUUUAACCAAAUCAAUAAAAUGGUUUAAAGUGUGAUCUAAAACAAAAACAAUUGAGAUUUUAAAAACAUUUCGAAAUUCAAUUAUUGAGUGAGGAGUAAAAAAAGCAUAAUGACAAAACGAACCGAAGAAAAAAAAGCUUUCUCAAGAAAUUAACGACUGAUUUUUAAUGAACUCUAACGUAAUAUAACGACGAAAGUGUGACUGAGAUUAGCCUGUGUGAGCUUAAACUGUGAAGGCGUGCCUGUAAUGAAGACUUUGCCCUGAGUACUACUAGAACAUUUUGGUUUAAAAUUUUACCCUCCGAAACCACCAAAUGAUUCUGUUCGGAAACGGAAAGUGCGUGGAGUGUUUGCGAAAAGACUAUACUGCAUUUUCGUGGUAUCGGAAACUUCCAAAGAGAGAAAAAUAUCAAACAAAAUUAUCAUUACCGAGUUACGAUUUUAAUCAAGCUGGAAGCUCUUGUAAAGGAAGCAAAAUCAAUAAUAAAAUCAGUACAGCAUAAGGUUUAAAAACUUUGGAGGUUUCAAUGAACUGAUUUCAUGGAUGCGAUUUAAGCGAGAAAGUAUAGUAUAUUGUACAGAACUCCAUCAUAACAUACGGAAGCAAAUAUUUUUGGAUAGUAUAUGAGAGGAACUUAGAAUUUAUGCACAUGUAACAACAUACGACUCAACAAUCACACUGAAAAAAAUGGCCAUAUUCGGAAGGACUAUUUUCCAGUAAUUUAACCAUUUCUACGGAACGCUCGGAUGUUGCGGCAAGAAUGUGAUGAAUGUCUACAUGUUUUUCGUGACGAAAAAAAGGGGUAUUUUACAAACUAGCAGGAGUUGUAAUGUAAGGGGACAAGUAGCAAGGAAUGAUCGGUUUUAAGAUUGUUUGCUUCUAUAGAGGGUUAAAUGAACACUGACGGAUCGAAAGGAGUGAAAGUGAAGCUGAAUUCAUAGUGAAGCCAUAACCGUAACGUGUGUCGUGAUGAACGGGGGAUCGCUUGGGUGAGACUGAGAUGUGAUUCUUAAGCGUAAGAAGUGUGUUAGUGAUAAGCGAAUGUUAGUAUAUUUGUAAGUUAGUCUGGCUGUUUGUACAAUUGAUGCUUGGUGACUGAAUAAAAAAUACAUGACUGCCAAAAACAUCAUCUUGUCUUAUUUAUCCCUUCUGCAUAUCAGUAGGAGAGAAGUGAGUGAAAGAUGUGUUAAGAUGAUAAAUCGAAGAAGAAAAAACGAAAAUAUUGUUGAGAAAGCUUGAGUGCUAAAGCAGGACAACGAAUGUGGUGGGUUCGUUUCUUAUCCAAUGUGAUGUGCGGGUAAAUUUUUGUUAAGAAUAAUCUUUUUAUUUUAUCACAUAUUGAAAUAAAUUUUUGUAUGAAAUGGAAAUAAAAGAGGAAAAAAGGA